GAUGAACGCUGGCGGCGUGCCUAAUACAUGCAAGUCGAGCGAACAGACGAGGAGCUUGCUCCUCUGACGUUAGCGGCGGACGGGUGAGUAACACGUGGAUAACCUACCUAUAAGACUGGGAUAACUUCGGGAAACCGGAGCUAAUACCGGAUAAUAUAUUGAACCGCGUGGUUCAAUAGUGAAAGACGGUUUUGCUGUCACUUAUAGAUGGAUCCGCGCCGCAUUAGCUAGUUGGUAAGGUAACGGCUUACCAAGGCAACGAUGCGUAGCCGACCUGAGAGGGUGAUCGGCCACACUGGAACUGAGACACGGUCCAGACUCCUACGGGAGGCAGCAGUAGGGAAUCUUCCGCAAUGGGCGAAAGCCUGACGGAGCAACGCCGCGUGAGUGAUGAAGGUCUUCGGAUCGUAAAACUCUGUUAUUAGGGAAGAACAAAUGUGUAAGUAACUAUGCACGUCUUGACGGUGCCUAAUCAGAAAGCCACGGCUAACUACGUG
rnacentral:rRNA from 1 species